rnacentral:rRNA from 1 species
GACGAACGCUGGCGGCGUGCCUAAUACAUGCAAGUCGAGCGGACUUUCAAGAAGCUUGCUUUUUGAAAGUUAGCGGCGGACGGGUGAGUAACACGUGGGCAACCUGCCUGUAAGACGAGGAUAACUCCGGGAAACCGGGGCUAAUACCGGAUAAUAUCUGUCUUCGCAUGAAGGAAGGUUGAAAGGCGGAGCAAGUUGCCGCUUGCAGACGGGUCCGGGGCGCAUUAGCUGGUUGGUGAGGUAACGGCUCACCAAGGCGACGAUGCGCAGCCGACCUGAGGGGGUGAUCGGCCACGCUGGGACUGAGACACGGCCCAGACUCCUACGGGAGGCAGCAGUAGGGAAUCUUCCGCAAUGGACGAAAGUCUGACGGAGCAACGCCGCGUGAGCGAAGAAGGUCUUCGGAUCGUAAAGCUCUGUUGUCAGGGAAGAACAAGUACCGUUCGAAUAGGGCGGUACCUUGACGGUACCUGACCAGAAAGCCACGGCUAACUACGUGCCAGCCGCCGCGGUAA